rnacentral:rRNA from 1 species
AGAGUUUGAUCAUGGCUCAGAACGUACGCUGGCGGCACGCUUAACACAUGCAAGUCGAACGAAGUAGCAAUACUUAGUGGCAGACGGGUGAGUAUAAUGUGGGAAUCUGCCUUUUGGUUUAGAAUAACUCGGGGAAACUUGAGCUAAUACUGGAUAAGCCCUUACGGGGAAAGCUUUAUGCGCCAAGAGAUGAGCCCGCACUUGAUUAGCUUGUUGGUGAGGUAAAAGCUCACCAAGGCAACGAUCAAUAGCUGUUCUUAGAGGAAGACCAGCCACAUUGGGACUGAGACACGGCCCAGACUCCUACGGGAGGCAGCAGUGGGGAAUCUUGCACAAUGGGGGAAACCCUGAUGCAGCGAUGCCGCGUGAGUGAAGAAGGCCUUUGGGUUGUAAAACUCUUUCGUCGGGGAAGAAAAUGACUGUACCCGAAUAAGAAGGUCCGGCUAACUUCGUGCCAGCAGCCGCGGUAAUACGAAGGGACCUAGCGUAGUUCGGAAUUACUGGGCUUAAAGAGCUCGUAGGUGGUUAAAGAAGUUGGUGGUGAAAUCCCAAGGCUUAACCUUGGAACUGCCAUCAAAACUUUUUAGCUAGAGUAUGAUAGAGGAAAGUGGAAUUUCUAGUGUAGAGGUGAAAUUCGUAGAUAUUAGAAAGAACAUCAAAAGCGAAGGCAACUUUCUGGAUCAUUACUGACACUGAGGAGCGAAAGCAUGGGUAGCGAAGAGGAUUAGAUACCCUCGUAGUCCAUGCUGUAAACGAUGUGUGCCAGACGUUGGAAAUUUAAUUUUCAGUGUCGCAGCAAAAGCAUUAAGCACACCGCCUGGGGAGUACGACCG